rnacentral:rRNA from 1 species
UACGAGGGGUGCAAGCGUUGCUCGGAAUUAUUGGGCGUAAAGGGUAGGUAGGUGGUCUCAUUUGUCUGGGGUGAAAGCCUUGGGCUUAACCCAAGAAGUGCCCCGGAAACGGUGAGACUAGAGUCCUGGAGAGGGUCGUGGAAUUCCCGGUGUAGCGGUGAAAUGCGUAGAGAUCGGGAGGAACACCAGAGGCGAAGGCGGCGACCUGGACAGGUACUGACACUCAACUACGAAAGCGUGGGGAGCAAACAGG